GACAACUAAUGAUUUGACAGUUGGAAUGAAAGCCGUCAUGUUGGCUGAAACAACUGAUUUGAUACUCCUGCAUGCGUUCAUGCGUAACAGCACAUGAAGGUGUGAAGCCAGGUAAAGUCGGCAGAACAAAACCUAAGUAGAAUGCGCAUUCUAUACGGUUGCGGAUAUGUCGGAAUGCUAAAAA
rnacentral:ncRNA from 1 species